UAAUACGUAGGGUGCGAGCGUUAAUCGGAAUUACUGGGCGUAAAGCGUGCGUAGGCGGUCCGCUGUGUCCCGUGUGAAAGCCCCGGGCUCAACCUGGGAAUUGCAUGGGAAACUGGCGGGCUUGAGUGCGGCAGAGGGGGGUGGAAUUCCGCGUGUAGCAGUGAAAUGCGUAGAGAUGCGGA
rnacentral:rRNA from 1 species